GCAAACUUUGGGGAAGUGGGGAAGUCCAAGGGACAGACGAUCACAGAUAUUUGUAAGAGCUCGGUUGCUAUUUAGGUAGCCCAUUGAAGGAGCAGAUUCACCUGGCAGCAGCAUCCUAUUACACCCAGCAGGGAGCUCAGCGUCCUCCUUCAUCUCCUGGCUUCUCUCCAGAUCCUUCCCCAGCUGGCGUCACCUGCAGCCCCCCUGCAAGCCCCAAGGGUCAUCAUGGACCCCCAGCACCCUGUGUAUUUCCCGGGGGAGCGUCUCACCCUCAGAUGCUUGGCCCCUGGUGGGGAGGCGGUGAGCAGCUACCAGUUCUACAAUCAGCGUGGGGAGCGGGUCUACA